UACAGAGGUCUCAAGCGUUGUUCGGAUUCAUUGGGCGUAAAGGGUGCGUAGGCGGGUCUUUAAGUCAGGGGUUAAAUCCUGGAGCUCAACUCCAGAACUGCCUUUGAUACUGAGGAUCUUGAGUUCGGGAGAGGUGAGUGGAACUGCGAGUGUAGAGGUGAAAUUCGUAGAUAUUCGCAAGAACACCAGUGGCGAAGGCGGCUCACUGGCCCGAUACUGACGCUGAGGCACGAAAGCGUGGGGAGCAAACAGG
rnacentral:rRNA from 1 species